AAAAGAUUUUUACUCAUUUUUCGAAAAUAUUUACAAGAAUUUUCUUGCUAAAUUUGGAGGAUUUUUUAAAAAUAAAAUUUUGAAGGGAAACUUUUAAGAAAUUAUUGGAAUUUUCUUCCUGAAGGUUUUGCAAAUUUUCAGAAAUUUGGGGAAUUUUUUUGCUGAAUUUUUGGAUUUUUUUCAGACAAGAAAACAGUAUUUUUUGGUGCCUGUAAAUGAAGACAACAGGAGGGUUAAGGACUGAGCUGAUGUUACUCUGAGAGCAGAAUAGAAGUCCUGAGAGUGGUCACUGCCUGGAGUCCCCCAGAGAGGGAGAAAGAGGGGGAGAGAAGAGUGCAAAAAGCCAGCGCUCCCCUCCAGGCUUAUCCCCUCCUUUUUUCUGAAACAGGCUCUGCUCUUUUUUGAAACGGUGCCAAUGGAGGCCGGCCCAAACUCCUCGCAGCUCAAACUUUUACAAGCUCGGCGUUCGCGAGCAGGAAGAGAGAGACGCAGAGUAAGAUCUGCAAAGGGAGUCUGCAGCUCCUCUUCUCUCCUCUUCUUCGAACUGAUGUCCAUGAAAUGACUCAUGCUUGCUUUUUUUCCCCUCCUAAUUUCAUGUACUAAUUUUCAGCAUCGCCCACUGACAUGCUCCGGAAAGAAGAAAGGAUUUAAAGUAGAAAACAAUUGCUUGAAAAAAAAUAAAACGAAGAGUCGGUGACGUCACACAGGAAGCUGUCUUGGAUAUUGCCUGAGGAGAGACACUGAUGACUGUCUGAGCCAUGGACACUCUUGAACAUUAGGGCUCUAUCCGGGGACUCAAACAUCGGACUAUCAUUUUUGGAUCUGCUUGUUUUCAGAGACCGACCCCUCAGUGUUGCCCCCUUGUUUUCGCUCCAGAGCUCCAUGAAACAGUUUGUUAUUGGACGCUGUGUUGCGGUAGACAUCCCAGACCACCAGUUUGGUCUGUUUGUGUUGACAGCAAGCAGCGGUUUCCAUUCACAGCCACACUCGAAUCAAAUCAGAACCUCUCCGCUCUCGUGUGCAACAAAUCCGAAUAAAAACACAGGCAGGUGCAGAACGACUAAAGACGUCCGGAGUGACAACCGAAAAUGGGAACUGUGAGGCAUGUACUACCUGGGAAUGAAGCCAACUGCUGACAAAAGGCUUUACUGCGCUGCUCUGAGACAAGCCUUUAACUCAUUUGCUCUGAAACGCUCCAGGACGAUCUGGCACUGAACUGUCUGGCCAACUGGAGAUAAAUCUGUCAAGCCUCUUGGCUUCGUUACAGCAUAGCAUUUCAACCAGCAAGCCUCCACUGCUACCUGCACAACUAUCUGUCCUUAAGGCUGAGGUAGUAGAUUGAAUAGUUGUGGGGUUCAUGUCCUCCUUUUGAGAUAACUAUACAAUCUACUGUCUUUCCGAAGGAAACAGGUUAAUCUUCCAUGAUGCCGAAGGCGGUACGUGCAAGGGAAGCUCUGUGGAUAAAAAGAACACAAAGACUGAGUAAAUACCACAUGAAACAAAGAACUUAACCCACAGCUGUUGAGAUGAAACUGCAGACACAACAAAGACUCUACAGUUUUACAAGAUGCAACAGUGGAACUGGUCUACUGUGACAUGUUCUGAAGUUGGUACACAACGACCAAAGUCUUGCUUUGAAGGUUGUAAAUUUGUGCUCGAAGUUGAGCCUAGCAAGGUGAGGUAGUAGGUUGUAUAGUUUGUGGGAUGGAGUAAAUCCUAUUCAGGUGAUAACUAUACAGUCUAUUACCUUCCUUGAGAGGUACAAUGAGUGCUUGGGAUGAAGCUCACUCAGUGAUGAGAGGGACGACAGAGACACUCUGAUGCCAUCUUGUGGCUGAAGACAAACAUCACUUUGGAAAUGAUUUGUGUACCUUUGUUUUCUAUGAACAAUUUAUGAAGGACUGAUGACAAUACUGAAAAUUAAAGUUCAUUCACUACUGUUUUGACAAUUUAGAAUUGAAGACAUAAUCUGAUACAUGAUUCAAAACCAUAAUUUUAUCAUUCUACAGUCAAAUUAGAGGACUGCCAUUAGACUGAUGGUAAAUUAGUUUGAUAAUCCUGACAAAAGAGCAACAGUUUAAGACUUGCAUAUCCAGAAAUAGGAAAUGAGAGCGUUUUAGGCAUUUGAAAGUAGAAUUCGGUGUCACAUCCUAUUUAGAUGCAGACUGCAAAGAGAGUUGUUCUGAAGUUUACCAGCUUUGGGUAAAUGAAAUAAAUUGAUUUAGAACACAUUUUGGUCGUCAGUGCUGGUUUGUAAAUGACAAUAAACUACACUGCCUGUCCAGAAACAAAGUCGCCACCUGGACUUAACUAAACAAAUAGAUAAGAGCCUUCCACUGGAUAAUUAUAGCAGUUAUUUAACCCUAGCUGAUGCAGUGAGGAGCUUCUCAUUUCUUAAACAGCCAUGUUGGAAGACAUAUACUGUGGUCAUGGAAAGGAUGUUAAUCUGUCUCAGAAGGGUCAAAUUAUUGGCCUGUAUCAAGCAAAGAAAACAACUAAGGAGAUGAAACUACUAAAAUCAGGUUAAGAACUGUCCAACGAAUUAUUAAAACCUGAAGGAUAGUGGAGAACCAUCAUCUUCCAGGUACAAAUGUGGUUCUAACAAACUCUUAGAUGAUCGCAGGAAAUCGACAGUAGAACUCGCAGCAUUUUCACAUGCACAAUGCAAAGAAGUGGUUCAGGGAGCAUGAGACGUCAUUUUCACUAAUGGACUGUCCAUACAGUCCAGAUCUCAGCCCCACUGAGAAUCUUCUGGAUGUUCUGGAGAAGACUUCAUACAGCGGUCCGACUCUCCCAUCAUCAAUACAAGGUCUUGGCAGAAAAUUAAUCCAACUCUGGACAGAAAUAAAUGCUGUGACAUUGAAGAAGCUCACCAAAAUGAUGAAACAGCAAAUGUGUGCCAUACCCAAAGCUAAAGGCAGUCCAACAAAAUAUUAGAGUGUGCAACUUUUUUUUUUUUAAAUCAAAAUCCAGCAAAAUUCGCUGGAUUUUGGUUGAAUUUUUUAUGAAUGUUAAUAAAGAAACAUUUUUUUUACAUUUUUUUUUCCACCAAAAAAUGUUCAAAAAUUUCCGAAAAAUGUUCAAAUUGUGGACAUCAGAAGUUUCACUGUGAAAAUGUAUUUUUUUCCACAUUUUCAAACUUUAAAACAGGUCAAUUUUGACCCGCAGGACGACACGAGGGUUAAAAUGGGCAGCAAGUAAAUAUGGCCUAAAAGCAUUAAUAAACAUCAAAUACAGUCCCAUGUGACUUCAGUCACACCUGCUCUAUUUGUGUUUGUGCUGGCAAUUCUAAAAUUAAGGAAAUGAAAGAAACUUUUAGGAACCUGAAUGGAAUGAUGUGUCUGAAAUCCUGAAUCGAGUGUGCAGGCAUGUCCUGUCACGUGUCAGCAAAUGUUUCUUAAAAGCUCAUGCAAAAUUGAUACAAGAAAUACAAGUAAAUGUACAAGUAUUUUUAUUCUAUUUAUUUUAACAAGGAAAUCCUUACAAUUUGGCAAAGAAGUGCAAGUAAAAAAAUACUAAAACCAGGGGACAACUGUAUAAAGGUUUGGGGAAAAAGGGACAAAACAAGUAAGUGUCAGUAUUAAGACAUCUGUAAUUAAUUACAAUCAGACACAGUAAGUAAAGAAAUCAUUUAACGUAAAGGUUACAAAAGCCUUGAAUUUAGCUUGGAGUACCAAGUUCUCCAAUUUCCUUCUGCAAAUUAUUUCAGACAGCUGCAGCAGAAAGCACUAAAGCCUUCUUUAUCAUCUCUGUCUUGUAAAGUUUGGAAAAUGAGCAGUGAAAUAUACUUGCACAGGUAUGAGAGAAGUUUGUGUAGAAUGGCAUCGAAAUACAUGUCAGUGAGGCUAAUGAUGCAUAAAGAGAGAUGAUGAAGUCAAGAUUUUAGGUUGGUGGCAAAUCUGAACACGCUGUGAUUAACACAGCCCUACAUGUGAAAUCCUACGAGACAGUUUGGUGUUUGUUCAUUGUAUUCCUCGUCUAAAAACUGUCUUUUAACCCUCCUGUUGUCCUCAUUUACAGGCACCAAAAGAUAUUGCUUCCUUGUCUGAAAAAAAAUCCAAAAAUUCAGCAAAAAAAUUCCCCAAAUUUCUGAAAAUUUGCAAAACCUUCAGGAAGAAAAUUCCAAUAAUUCCUUAAAAAUUUCCCUUAAAAGUUUUAUUUUUAAAAAAAUCCCCCAAAUUUGGCAAGAAAAUUCUUGUAAAUAUUUUCAAAAAAUGAGUAAAAAUCUUGCAAAAAAAAUUCCUAAAAAUAUCUAAAGUGAUUCCAUAUAUAUCAGUAAAACUUCUAAUAUUUUCUUUAAGAACAUUCAGAAAAAAAAUUAACCAAAAUCCAGCAAAAUUCACUGGAUUUUGGUUGCUUUUUUCUGAAUGUUCUUAAAGAAUUUUUUUUCUAGCAUUUAUUUUAUUUCCACCAAAAAAUGUUCAAAAAUUUCCCAAAAAUGUUAAAAAUGUGGACAUCAGAAGUUUCACUGUAAAUUUUUUUUCCCCAAAAUUUUCAAACUUUAAAUUUGGAAAACCUUCUGGAAGAAAAUUCCAAUAAUUCCUUAAAAGCAUCCCUUAAAAGUUUUGUCAAAAAAUAAAAUAAUCCCCCAAAUUUGGCAAGAAAAUCUUCGUAAAUAUUUUUUAAAAAUGAGUAACAAUCUUCCAAAAAAAAUCCUUAAAAUAUCUAAAGUGAUUACAUAUAUAUCAGAAAAACUUCUAUUUUCUUUAAAAAAUCAACCAACAAUUUUUGGUGAAUGUUCUUAAGAAACAUUUUUAACAUUUCUUUUUUUCCACCAAAAAUGUUCAAAAAUUCCCCAAAAAUGUUGAAAACGUGGACAUCAGAAUUUUCACUGUGAAAAUAUAUAUUCUUUCCCACAUUUUCAAACUUUAAAACGGGUCAAUUUUGACCCGCAGGACGACACAAGGGUUAAAUGACAUUAACAGGUUUUUAGAGCGGGUUUGUUCCUCAAUUCAAGUUUACUAUCCAGUUUGCUUAUUAUAGAUAAACCAGCACAGAUCAAGUUUAUAGAGUGUAAUUUCUGUCACUUGGUAAUUCUGUUGGAGCACCAAGUAGUUGGACAUGUGUACAACUUUACAAUAAAAACUCUCAUGGUUCAGU